AUGUUUUAUUUUCACCCAGACAGCUCACUGAUCUCUCUCUCUCUCUCUCUCUCUCUCUCUCUCUCUCUCUCUCCUUUAUUUCAGAAAUCAGGUAGAGUUCUGCCUGUGAGACACAGCUGUACCUCCAUUCCUCACCAAGCACUCACCAAGUCGGUGUCCAUGCUGGCCAUCAGUCACAGAGACCUGGACGGAAUGGGAUCGGCAUCACUAGAGCAUAGCAUCUCUGAGGAGGACCCGGGGCCACUGCGGAGCGACUCUGAGGGGAGACAGGGGACCAAGGUCAGCCGCACCUUCAGUUACCUCAAGAGCAAGAUGAGUACUAAAAAGAACAAGGUGAGUCUGUCCAUUCAGCCUCUCUUCCUCCUCCUGCACUAG
rnacentral:lncRNA from 13 species